GAUGAAGAACGUAGCGAAAUGCGAUAAGUAAUGCGAAUUGCAGAAUUCAGUGAGUCAUCGAAUCUUUGAACGCACAUUGCGCCCUGUGGUAUUCCGCAGGGCAUGCCUGUUCGAGCGUCAUUUCAACCCUCAAGCCUCGCUUGGUGUUGGGCCCUGCCCGCCGCGGCCGGCCCUAAAGAUAGUGGCGGCGCCGCCUGGCCCUCAGCGUAGUACAUCUCUCGCUCCAGGGUCCGGCGGCAGCCUGCCAGAACCCCCCAACUCUGUGGUUGACCUCGGAUCAGGUAGGGAUACCUGCUGAACUUAAGCAUAUCAAUAAGCGGAGGA
rnacentral:misc_RNA from 1 species